rnacentral:rRNA from 1 species
AAAUUUGAAAUCUGGCCUCGGCCCGAGUUGUAAUUUGCAGAGGAUGCUUCUGGCGCGGUGCCUUCCGAGUUCCCUGGAACGGGACGCCACAGAGGGUGAGAGCCCCGUAUGGUCGGACACCAAGCCUGUGUGAAGCUCCUUCGACGAGUCGAGUAGUUUGGGAAUGCUGCUCUAAAUGGGAGGUAAAUCUCUUCUAAAGCUAAAUACCGGCCAGAGACCGAUAGCGCACAAGUAGAGUGAUCGAAAGAUGAAAAGCACCUUGAAAAGGGGGUUAAAUAGUACGUGAAAUUGUUGAAAGGGAAGCACUUGUGACCAGACUUGGGCCGGGCGGCUCAUCAGGGGUUCUCCCCUGUGCACUCCGCCCGGCACAGGCCAGCAUCGGUUCUCGUGGGGGGAUAAGACCGUCGGGAACGUAGCACCCUCCGGGGGUGUGUUAUAGCCCGGCGGACGAUACCCCCGUGGGGACCGAGGUUCGCGCUCCGCAAGGAUGCUGGCGUAAUGGUCACCGGUGACCCGUCUUGAAACACGGACCAAGGAGUCGUCCAUUAGAGCGAGCGUUUGGGUGUAAAACCCGCACGCGUAAUGAAAGUGAACGCAGGUGAGAGCUUCGGCGCAUCAUCGACCGAUCCUGAUGUUCUCGGAAGGAUUUGAGUAAGAGUUUUAACGGACGGACCCGAAAGACAGUGAACUAUGCUUGUAUAGGGUGAAGCCAGAGGAAACUCUGGUGGAGGCUCGCAGCGGUUCUGACGUGCAAAUCGAUCGUCAAAUAUGAGCAUGGGGGCGAAAGACUAAUCGAACUGUCUAGUAGCUGGUUACCGCCGAAGUUUUCCCUCAGGAUAGCAGUGUUGAUCUUCAGUUUUAUGAGGUAAAGCGAAUGAUUAGGGACUCGGGGGCGCUAUAUAGCCUUCAUCCAUUCUCAAACUUUAAAUAUGUAAGAAGCCCUUGUUACUUCGUUGAACGUGGGCAUUCGAAUGUACCAACACUAGUGGGCCAUUUUUGGUAAGCAGAACUGGCGAUGCGGGAUGAACCGAACGCGGGGUUAAGGCGCCAGAGUGUACGCUCAUCAGACACCACAAAAGGCGUUAGUACAUCUUGACAGCAGGACGGUGGCCAUGGAAGUCGGAAUCCGCUAAGGACUGUGUAACAACUCACCUGCCGAAUGUACUAGCCCUGAAAAUGGAUGGCGCUCAAGCGUACCGCCCAUACCCCGCCCCCAGGGUAGAAACGAUGCCCUGG